UACGGGGGGGGGCAAGCGUUGUUCGGAAUUACUGGGCGUAAAGGGCUCGUAGGUGGCCAACUAAGUCGGACGUGAAAUCCCUCGGCUUAACCGGGGAACUGCGUCUGAUACUGGAUGGCUUGAGUUCGGGAGAGGGAUGCGGAAUUCCAGGUGUAGCGGUGAAAUGCGUAGAUAUCUGGAGGAACACCGGUGGCGAAGGCGGCAUCCUGGACUGGUCCUGACACUCAGGAGCGAAAGCGUGGGGAGCGAGUCCGG
rnacentral:rRNA from 1 species